rnacentral:rRNA from 1 species
CAGCAGCCGCGGUAAUACGGAGGGUGCGAGCGUUAAUCGGAAUUACUGGGCGUAAAGCGUGCGCAGGCGGUUCGCUAAGUCUGAUGUGAAAGCCCCGGGCUCAACCUGGGAACUGCAUUGGAAACUGGCGAGCUUGAGUGUGGCAGAGGGGGGUGGAAUUCCACGUGUAGCAGUGAAAUGCGUAGAGAUGUGGAGGAACACCGAUGGCGAAGGCAGCCCCCUGGGCUAACACUGACGCUCAGGCACGAAAGCGUGGGGAGCAAACAGGAUUAGAUACCCUGGUAGUCCACGCCCUAAACUAUGUCAACUGGGUGUUGGGGAAGCGAUUCCUCAGUACCGUAGCUAACGCGUGAAGUUGACCGCCUGGGGAGUACGGCCGCAAGGUUAAAACUCAAAGGAAUUGACGG